GUGCUUGUUUCAGCAGCACAUAUACUAAAAUUGGAACAAUUCCGAGGAGAUUAGCAUGGACCCUUAACAAGGAUGAAACAUAAAUUCAUGAAGUAUUCCUUAUUUUU
ensembl:snRNA U6 U6 spliceosomal RNA